rnacentral:rRNA from 1 species
GACGAACGCUGGCGGCGUGCCUAAUACAUGCAAGUCGAACGAACCGCGACUGAGUGCUUGCACUUGGUCAAGGUGAGUGGCGAACGGGUGAGUAACACGUGGGUAACCUACCUCAUAGUGGGGGAUAACAGUCGGAAACGACUGCUAAUACCGCAUAGGACAUCGGCUCACAUGAUCCAUUGAGGAAAGUUGGCGCAAGCUAUCGCUAAGAGAUGGACCCGCGGUGCAUUAGCUAGUUGGUAGGGUAAAGGCCUACCAAGGCGAUGAUGCAUAGCCGACCUGAGAGGGUGAUCGGCCACAUUGGGACUGAGACACGGCCCAGACUCCUACGGGAGGCAGCAGUAGGGAAUCUUCCGCAAUGGACGCAAGUCUGACGGAGCAACGCCGCGUGAGUGAAGAAGGUCUUCGGAUCGUAAAGCUCUGUUGUUAGAGAAGAACAGCGCAUAGAGUAACUGCUAUGCGUGUGACGGUACCUAACCAGAAAGCCACGGCUAACUACGUG